AGUUUUUGGAAAAGUAAACAAGAGUUUUUGCUCCUUUGCUUAUAAGGUGUUUCUUCGAAUUUUACGUCCAUUGGCGUAAUAGUACGAAUAUAUUCGAGAUAUAUUGUAUAUUGAUGGAAAAGUAUUUAAAAACAUAUCAUAUUGUAUGAAUAUAUAUGAACCUUGUUACGUUUGCCACUGAGCACUACAUCUAUAUAUUAUGAUUUCGUUUGUACGACGCAGCUGUCAAUUUUGUUUGUUUUUUUUCAUGCUUUGUCUACACGUAGUUUUGAAGAUUAAGAAGAAAUUUUGGGCAGCACGACCAUCAGUUGCCGUCAGUCGUUGCAAGUAGGAAGACGAGGAUGAUUGACGAAAGAGACGAUUACUAAACUGGUACGCAACCAAUAAUUUAUUUAUUGAUGAGAGAUAUCUGGAAGGUUACACUAUUUUCUCACUAGUACUUUACUCAAAUUAAAAGAUCAAAUACUCUCUCACCAGUUACUAUUACUCACGUAGUACGUGAGUACAAUUUAUCUCGUUGCCGAUGUCGAUAUAUUCCGUCGAAGCUUCGUCGUUUUCUUAAAAACAGAAAAAUUUAUUUUCGUGCGAGAAUGCGUAAAGAUGACGCUCAUACAAAAAUUAAAAUGAAGGUGACUUCUCUUAAAAUAACACGAUAUCUGCUUGCUAUACAUUGUAAUGUCGCAUCGGAAAUAUAUGCAAUUUUCUUGUCUUGUCUUGCCUACAAAGUCUGUAUAUAAUGAAACAGUACAUGCAGUCUGAGCUGUGAUUUCUUCAUAUCAAAAGAUUUUAUAUAAAAGGCAAAGUCAAGGAGGAUGUCAAAUUUUGAGGGGUAUUGUCAUCGAGAUCCAUUCAACUUUAUAAAUUCUAAUAUAUUCUAAUAUAAUUUAACUUUAUAAAUGUUAAAUUUAAAAUAGUAACAUCAUAUAUAGAUAAACACAUCAAAUAUUUAUAUAUACAGCACAUAUUCUAUAUGCACUUCUAUUCAAAGACAACAAUUUUCGAUACAUCUAUAUCAACAGAGUUCGACAUCUAUUACUCUAUCUGCAAUUUUAUAAAAGAUUUCAUCAAGUUUUGCAUAUCAUUGAUAAAGUAUGCAGUGUCCUACAAAAAAUAAUCAAGAUUCUUAUCGAUUUAAAAAAAUCUCCAGUUUAGUAUAAUACUCAAAGUAUAUGUACAUCAUGACAACGUUCGUGCACAGUCCUUUGUCUUCCACUUAGCAUAUUUUGUCUGUGAAGUCUUCAUGAUAUCAUCAUUACUUUCUCAAAUGGAUCUAUUACGAUUUGAAUCAAUUUCGUCUUCAUCAUAUUUCGAUAUCAAUGUAUUAUACGUGAGAUUUACUACGGAUCGAUUAACUUCUUUCUUUAUUGACCUACGACAUGGAGGAGUGUUUAGGAGCCACUAGAACAUCUUAAGUAGUGAGUAAACAGAUUUAAGUAUUCACCAUGGCGAGGACGAAAGGUCCGAAUCGAUACAAAUUACUGGUUGUAAUUUUUUCAGUAAAUUAUUGACGAACAUAAUCAUGAAUAAUUCGUCUUCUUGAUUUACUCACAUGUAGUACAAUUUUAAUUUUAUCAUUAUUUAUUUAUUGUAUAUAUCUAAUUAGCUCAGGAUAGGGUCUUCUUGUUUUAUCGGUUCGAGUUGUUUAAUUAAUAUUGCAAUUAAUUAAUGCUUCUUUUUGCGUUAUUAUUCAUGCAUCUGCCCAUGUUUUAUUCUACGGGUGAAAAACAUUUAAUAUGGAUUUAAUUUUAAAUUGGCGCCCAUUUUCGUGAUUAUCAUUGUAUUAUUCAUCAUGAUUAUAAAUAAUAUCCUUAAGUGUCUAAUCAGUUAUAAAUGAAAAUGUGCGAUUGAAAUGUUUUUCUUUUUUUUGUAUUUAUAUAAAUAAUACGUAUUCCAAACACAAACGUCCAACAUAUGAAAAAAAUAUUUUGUAUUCCAUUUAAUCGUUUUUUUUGUACAUUCAAUCUUAUUUAUCAUCAUAUCGCUUUUAUUAACAUUUCCUGUUUAAGAAAUUAUAAUCUAUCAUGCAAGCUGAUUUGCGGAUAAGCUUUUGUACUUGGUGAUAAUUUUUUAUAUAAUCAUCGGUAGAAUACAAUAAGCGUAGGCCAAUGGUUGAGUUUAAUCCGAUAGUAUCGAAAGGGUUAAGGCUGCUCAUCCAAUAUCGUUCGAGAAGUAUGCAACUUUAGCAAUGGGUACAGAAUUAAAAAGGCAUUAGAAAAACGCUGUUUCUUCUCUGGAUUCAUCGUAUCAGUUUAUAUAUCUGUAUAGAAACGUUAUAUUCCUCGUGUCAUCGGCGCAUCAGAAUUGAAGAAUUGACUUGACAACGAGACAUCAGAUACAAUGUGUGACGAACAGAUGGUUCGACGUCAAUACGUAAGAAAAAAGAAACGUGUGAUUUCUAGUUAAACGUUGAUACUCUCUAGAUACUCGAUUGGUGCAUUACUUUUCUUUCAUUUACCUAAAACAAUUCAUUAUUUAAUAAACUGAUAGUAAUAUUAGUUUAAAGAAACUAAUAGAUAUAUUUAUGUCUCGUUAGAAAAAGUAUUGUGAUUUAUUGUUCUUCAUUUAUCUUGCUACAUUACUCUUAGUGCCUAAAAUAAUCUGUUAUAAUAAUUGUUGCGUUAUAAAAAUCAUGAGGGCGCAACAACGACAACGCGUUUGACCGCGUUUCUCGCAUCUGAACAGCGAUGCUGUUUAUUUUCUCAUAUAGAACCUAUCCACCUCUCUUCUCAAUAGUCAGACCUCAAUAGUCAUUGCGGUGAAUAAGAAUGAUGGCACAAGGCUCGGAAGUUGUCAAAGGUCUUCGCCAAAAUACCAAUUGCCGCGUUCCCGUAAAUUAAUGGGUUCCCGUAAACUACUUUAUUAUUUAUUUAUUGCCCAGUUCGACACAUUAUGGAAGACUAUAUGCUAGACCGAAAAUACCUAAGCUCGGAUAAAGAUGGCAAUGUGUUUUUUAUCUAUGCGUUUUCUUAGCAAGUAUCCAACGAUUUCCUAAGGGUAGAUAUUUUAGAUAAUAUAUGGCCAUUAGGAGAAAGUACUGGGAAUUACCGAGGAUACGCACGUGUAGGUCAACAAUAAUAAACUCAUAAUAAUAUUAUUUAUGAAAAUAAUAUAUACAUCUUCUGUUCUUGUAAAAUCUUGUAAAAAAAUCUCUUGUAAAAUCUUUAGAAUGUAGUAGAUGUGUACAAGAUGUGUUCUUUGUUUUCUCGUGGUUAAAUAGAAAAUAUUAAAACGUGAAAAAGGAAUUUACCACUUCAUUUAAAAUUACUUUGAAGAAUAUUAAUUAGUUAAAAAAUUGUAAUGAAUUAACUUGUUGACUUCGGUACCCUUUCGUAUGAAACCAUCGCACAUCAGUUGCAGCGAUUGGCUAUUACACAUCAAGUUAUGCUUAUUGAAAAUACAUAUUUCGUUCAGAUAGGUUUUGUUUGGAAAAGAAAUAUAAACGUAAUUAAAUAUAAUGAGAAAAAUUCGAAAUUGGUAAUGAAGAAUAAAUUUUUAUAAUUUCAACAUUAUAAUAAAGAUAAUGUAAAUUAUUUAAUAAUCAACAUAUGAAUGAUA